UACGGAGGGUGCAAACGUUGCUCGGAAUCAUUGGGCGUAAAGCGCACGUAGGCGGCGCGUUAAGUCGGGUGUGAAAGCCCUGGGCUCAACCCAGGAAGUGCAUUCGAAACUGGCGCGCUUGAAUAUGGAAGAGGGUCGCGGAAUUCCCGGUGUAGAGGUGAAAUUCGUAGAUAUCGGGAGGAACACCAGUGGCGAAGGCGGCGACCUGGGCCAAUAUUGACGCUGAGGUGCGAAAGCGUGGGGAGCAAACAGGAUUAGAAACCCCCGUAGUCC
rnacentral:rRNA from 1 species